UUUGGUGUCCUUGUGUGGCUCUUGCAGAUUUCGGCAGAUCUCAGAAGUUAAGUAAGGUCGGGCCUGGUUAGUGCUUGAAUGGGAGACCGCAGGGACUACCAGGUGCCACAG
rnacentral:rRNA from 1 species